CCCAGGUUCACUAAAGAGGUUGAGAAAAGUUAAUACUUCAGCCCACAAGUUCAAGUGUGAAUGAGGUAGACUUAACAGAAAAAAAAAAAAAAAGGCUCAGAAGCAGGACCGCUAACACUAGCCUGUAAGAGCAGCGUUGAGAGCACUAUGCACAUCAACUCCAAUUUGGGCUUCAGCUUUCUCCAGGUCAGUUGAGGCUGAGCUUAGCUUCUGGGUGAACUCUGCAAGUCCCUUCUGCACCAGGCUGGCAUCAAUUUGAUCAAGUGGCACAGCCUCAACAGCAAUUAUAUCUGCAAAAGAAUUUGCAUGGAUGAAUGCAAAGCCACUGCUAACAAAAUACUUUGUCACUUCAUUCCCUUCAUGCACAGAUAAUAACCCAGGUUUCAACUCUGCAAUUGUUGAUACGUGUCCAGGAAGAACACCCAUUUGCCCUGUAGUUGAUGGAAUUAUAACCAUGUCAACCUGCACAAAGCAUUCAAGAAAAGUAAAACUUGAUGGUUAUGACAUAUUACCUUCAGCUUAUUGAUUUUAAAGCUUCUUCUAACAAAUUUAAUCACACUAUAAAAUUAAAAAAAUACAGGUCUCUCCCUUGAAAUAAGGGAUUCAGGAAACUAAAUCCUCAUUAACACCCUCUAUAGGAUGAAAUUAAAUAUUUUUUAACAAGAUUAAAGAAGAUAAACAAUUUCAACUUAUCCACCUUGCAUUUAGUAUAUGGGGCACAAAGUUCAAGUUUAUGAAUUGCAGACCUGUCCAUCACUUGUCAUCAUAUGGCUAAUGAAGGUCAAAAGAAAAUGACCCAAGAAACAAGCAAAACAAAGUAAUUCAGAACUGCAGUAGAAUCAUGAUGAUUGCAAUUAAUCAUAUAGUUAAUAUAAUUAAGUGGAAUCAGCAGAACUCUCCCAACCUUCACCACAACUGCAGUUUCUGCUCUCAGAACUUUGGGGAAAGGUAGCAGCAUAUCCAAACAAUCUUUAAUGUAAACAGAAAAUUUUCACUGUUUUAUAAAAUGCUAUCAAACAAAACCUUUAAGACUUCCUUUGAAAUAAAUCAUUUACAAGAAAAGAA
rnacentral:misc_RNA from 1 species